AUUGAACGCUGGCGGCAUGCUUUACACAUGCAAGUCGGACGGUAACAGGGUGCUUGCACCGCUGACGAGUGGCGAACGGGUGAGUAAUGCGUCGGAACGUGCCGAGUAGUGGGGGAUAACGCAGCGAAAGUUGUGCUAAUACCGCAUACGUACUGAGGUAGAAAGUGGGGGACCUUCGGGCCUCACGCUAUUCGAGUGGCCGACGUCUGAUUAGCUAGUAGGUGAGGUAAAGGCUCACCUAGGCGACGAUCAGUAGCGGGUCUGAGAGGAUGAUCCGCCACACUGGGACUGAGACACGGCCCAGACUCCUACGGGAGGCAGCAGUGGGGAAUUUUGGACAAUGGGCGAAAGCCUGAUCCAGCCAUGCCGCGUGUCUGAAGAAGGCCUUCGGGUUGUAAAGGACUUUUGUCAGGGAGGAAAUCCCUAGUGCUAAUAACACUGGGGGAUGACAGUACCUGAAGAAUAAGCACCGGCUAACUACGUGCCAGCCGCCGCGGUAA
rnacentral:rRNA from 1 species